ACAGUUCGCGUCUCAAAUCAGUACUAAUCAACAAAAUUACUCAAGUUACUCACUUUUGAAUGUGUAUGACCGUCUAUCCGACUCAAAAUUAAUUAAUAUCCCUGAGAAUGAGGUUCUUCUCUAGUUUCUCCAACAGUACACACAUGCAUGACGUCAUGACGUGAGGACGUAAAAGAACUGGGGGGUAUUCCAGAAAGCAGGUUAUGUGACAUACCUGGGUAUGUUUAAGGGUAAGUUCGUGGAUAACCUCAACUUUCGGUUCCAAAAACGGAGGUAACUUUCUGGGGUUUCCAAAUGUAAUUGGGUGCAUUGAUGGCACUCACAUUCCUAUUAAAGCUCCACCAAUAAAUGAGGGAGACUGUGUUAAUAGGAAAUCUAUUCAUAGCAUCAAUGUGCAGGACAGUACAAUGGUUUUUGCUGGGGGACAGAGGAUACCCUUGUCUGCCCUAUUUAAUGACACCCUACCCUGAACCUGAGCCUGGACCACAGACACGGUUUAACCUGCCUCACAGCCGAAUACGGGCCAAGGUGGAGAUGACUAUAGGGAUCCUCAAAUCUCAGUUUCAGAGUCUGCGUGGGCUCCGGGUUAGUCCAGAGAGGGCAUGCGACAUUAUAGUAGCGUGUGUUGUGCUUCACAAUAUUGCCACUAUAAGAGGAGAGAGCCACCCUCCUUGUAUUGAGGAAGAUGGCCCAGAGGAACACCUACAGAUUUUAGAGGCCAACAGAGACAGAAGACUUUUGAGAGACAGGGUCUGUCAAAAUCACUUUUAUUAAUUUUUUUCACUGGUCUGCCAGGCAGUUUAUUUCUUUAUUUCCUGAAAAACAAUAAAAUAAAAUUCAAUAAAA